rnacentral:rRNA from 1 species
AUGGGCGACAGGACGGCCCCUGUUUUGGACUGGGUAGACGAGAAACUGUAGAGUUUGAAGCUGUCAGAUGCAGAAAAGAGAAGCAUAAAGAUUGGAAGGAAACACACCUGCUCAUCGACGGUGGGAAAGCUCCGGGCUGUGGGUAAGCUCUUCUCUGAAAGACCAGCUAAAGCAGAAUAUUUAGGAAGAACGUUAGGCAGCAUCUGGAGCCCUUUCACUGGAGUGGAUUGUAAGGAUUUGAAUAGGAAUCGAUUCCUUUUCUCGUUCCAUGAAGAAGAUAGUAAAAGGAAGGCUUUAAAUAAUGGACCGUGGUCGUUUAAUAAGGAGUUAUUAGUGAUGGAAGAUUUUAUGCCAAGCAAAACAAUUGAUGAGUAUGAAUAUAAGACUAUCCCCAUAUGGGUUAGAGCAUAUGGUAUUCCUUUGGGAAUGAUGAACACAGAGGUAGGGAGUCUGGUGGGAGAACAAAUUGGAGAGGUCUUGGAUAUAGACAUGGAUGAUAAUGGAAAUGCCAUGGGUAAAUUCAUGAGAAUCAAACUCCGGAUGGAUAUAACAGUCCCAAUAAUGAGGCUCACCACUUUAGAAAUCGAGGAGGAUGAGGAGGAACAUGCUUAG